GAUGAACGCUGGCGGCGUGCCUAAUACAUGCAAGUCGAGCGAGGGAAGUAAUUCCCGAGCGGCGGACGGGUGAGUAACGCGUGGAUAAUCUACCUUCCAUUCACGGAUACCCUCGGGAAACUGAGGCUAAAACGGGAUACGGUCGCGAGUUCGCAUGAGCUCGCGAAGAAAAAUUUAUCGAUGGAAGAUGAGUCCGCGUCUGAUUAGCUAGUUGGAGAGGUAAAGGCUCACCAAGGCGACGAUCAGUAGCCGACCUGAGAGGGUGAUCGGCCACAUUGGGACUGAGAGACGGCCCAAACUCCUACGGGAGGCAGCAGUAGGGAAUAUUGCGCAAUGGACGAAAGUCUGACGCAGCAACGCCGCGUGAAGGAAGAAGGCCUUCGGGUUGUAAACUUCUAUCGACAGGGACGAAGAGAGAUUUGACGGUACCUGAAUAAGAAGCCCCGGCUAACUACGUGCCAGCAGCCGCGGUAAUACGUAGGGGGCAAGCGUUAUCCGGAAUUACUGGGUGUAAAGGGUGAGUAGGCGGCUUGGCAAGUCAUAUGUGAAAUCCCGGGGCUUAACCCCGGGACUGCAUAAGAAACUGUUGAGCUAGAGUACAGGAGAGGCAAGUGGAAUUCCAUGUGUAGCGGUGAAAUGCGUAGAUAUAUGGAAGAACACCAGUGGCGAAGGCGACUUGCUGGACUGAAACUGACGCUGAGUCACGAAAGCGUGGGGAGCAAACAGGAUUAGAUACCCUGGUAGUCCACGCCGUAAACGAUGAUAGCUAGGUGUUGGCUCGAGAGAGUCAGUGCCGUCGUAAACACAGUAAGCUAUCCACCUGGGGAGUACGGUCGCAAGAUUGAAACUCAAAGGAAUUGACGGGGCCCCGCACAAGCGGUGGAGCAUGUGGAUUAAUUCGAAGCAACGCGAAGAACCUUACCAAGGCUUGACAUACUUCUGACAGGCGCUAAAAGGCGUCCUCCCUUCGGGGCAGAGGAUACAGGUGGUGCAUGGUUGUCGUCAGCUCGUGUCGUGAGAUGUUGGGUUAAGUCCCGCAACGAGCGCAACCCUUAUGUUCAGUUGCCAGCAAGAGAGAUGGGCACACUGGAGAGACUGCCGCGGAUAACGCGGAGGAAGGCGGGGAUGAGGUCAAAUCAUCAUGCCCUUUAUGUCUUGGGCGUCACACGUGCUACAAUGGCUCAUACAAAGCGAAGCAAGGCAGUGAUGCGGAGCGAAACGCAAAAAUGAGUCUCAGUUCGGAUUGUAGUCUGCAACCCGACUACAUGAAGCUGGAAUCGCUAGUAAUCGCGAGUCAGCAUGUCGCGGUGAAUACGUUCCCGGG
rnacentral:rRNA from 1 species